UACGAAGGGGGCUAGCGUUGCUCGGAAUCACUGGGCGUAAAGCGCACGUAGGCGGAUCUUUAAGUCAGGGGUGAAAUCCCAAGGCUCAACCUUGGAACUGCCUUUGAUACUGGGGAUCUCGAGUCCGGAAGAGGUUGGUGGAACUGCGAGUGUAGAGGUGAAGUUCGUAGAUAUUCGGAAGAACACCAGUGGCGAAGGCGACACACUGGCCCGUUACUGACGCUGAGGCGCGAAAAGCGUGGGGAGCAAACAGGG
rnacentral:rRNA from 1 species